rnacentral:ncRNA from 1 species
GCCGAUUUGGUCCUAGUCCCAGCUUUAACUACUUUCAAGAUGCCACAUGCAAGUUAAUUAGCAAACCAGUGAAGUAAACCCUUUUUCCUUAAAAACUACAGAGAACAAGGGAAAAAGAGCCCUAGUAUCAGGCGCUGAUCAAUAAGCCUACAACACUAGGCAAUACGCCACAACUGCAGUGCUAAACAUUGGACAAUCGAAUAAAUACGGAUCCAGCAAAGAAAGUGAAAGGGGGUAAAAUACGUGCCAGCCACCGCGGUUAUACGUACUUCCUACAGUUAAACAAAACGGUGAAAAGGGUGGUUAGGAGAGAACAAUAGUUGGCCAUAGCUCUGGGCUAGUGGUAAAAAACUAAUCCUAGAAGAAAUUCUAGCGCCAAAAUUCCUCAUUCGAAGCCACGAAAACUAAGACCUAAACCAGGAUUAGAUACCCUGUUAUACUUAGACGUAAACAAUCUAGAAGCACCAGAGAACUACGAACACAAAGUUUAAAACUCAAAGGACUUGGCGGUUUUCCACACCUCCCUGGAGGAGCUUGCCAUUGAAUCGAUAAUCCACGAAAUACCUCACCAGCUUUUGUUUUUGAUCAGCUUGUAUACCAUCGUCGUAAGUCUACUUCUCGAGAAAGUUGACUUCAAGGAAUAAUUCCUAGACAUCAGAUCAAGGUGCAGCUUAUAAGCUGGGAAUAGGUGAGCUACAAUGUUUGAAUAAACCAGUGAAAAUAGAAAUGAAAAAUUCUUUGGAAAUUGGAUUCAGCAGUAAGCCCCACGAAGAAAAUGGGGCUGAAAAGAGCUCUGGAAUGCGUACACAUCGCCCGUCACUCUCCCCUAGCAGCAUAAGUAAGGGGAGAAAAGUCGUAACAAAAUGGGCGCACCGGAAGGUGUGCCUGGUUAAC